rnacentral:rRNA from 1 species
UACGUAGGGGGCUAGCGUUGUCCGGAAUCAUUGGGCGUAAAGGGCGUGUAGGCGGCCCGGUAAGUCCGCUGUGAAAGUCGGGGGCUCAACCCUCGAAUGCCGGUGGAUACUGUCGGGCUAGAGUGCGGAAGAGGCGAGUGGAAUUCCUGGUGUAGCGGUGAAAUGCGCAGAUAUCAGGAGGAACACCAAUUGCGAAGGCAGCUCGCUGGGACGUAACUGACGCUGGAGACGCGAAAGCGUGGGGAGCAAACAGG